ACCCCCGACGCCAUCUCUCGCAUCCUGGUUCGUCCCGUCUCCGUCGUCCCCGAGCUCGUCUGCAAGUGUCCGCCAUGGCCCCUAUCUCCGCUCGUUUCUGCUUCAACAUGUCACGAAGCCCGUGUUCAUCAACAACAGCAACUGUAGCCCAGUGAUCUCGAGUUCAGAGAUGUUUCAGCUUAUGCGUGAGAUCAUCCAAGUCAACAACAUCAGCUAGCUCUUCUGACGGGCCUCGGCCCAGAUCCUCCGUCCCUG